GUGUGUGUGUGUGUGUGCGUGCGUGCGCGUGCGUGCGUGUCCUGCAGGCUCUAAAGCGGGCACCAGGCCCGGGGGCAUCGGCAGCGCUGCGGCCCCCCAGCCCGGUAUGGACGGGGAGGGCAUGCUCUCCAAGAUCCUGCCGGUGAACGCCGCAGAGCAGGCGGGGAAACUGGGAGACGCCCUCAGUGGUUUCGGCAAGAAGUUUUCCUCCAUGUGGUGAGGGGCUGAGGUGCUGAGGUGAAGAUAUGUUUAAUAACAGACAAAGGAAGUUGUGCCAGAAAAACCUUUUGGAAUUCAUACCAGUUUUUGUUUAGUGAGAGAGUGUGUUUGUGUAUAUGUAUAUGUGUGUGUGUGUGUGUGUGUGUGUGUGUGUGUGUGUGUGUGUGUGUGUGUGUGUGUGUGUGUGUGUGUGUGUGUGUGUGUGUGUGUGUGUGGGAGAGGGAGAGGGAGAGCCAGAGAGAGUCUAUGGGAGAGAGAAGAUAUACAAGAGGGAAACGGGAGAACAGAGCAUACUGCCAACAAAGAGAACCCCCUCCUCCCCCCCCACGUCCUCUACACGUACACACCCAGGAUACUGCAUGUCCCAGGCCUGAGUGUACGCCGGCAGAGAGAAUCCCCUGCUCUCUCUGGCAGGCCAGACAAUCAGAACCAGGACCCCCGGUCAACCGCUAUCUUCUGGGACAAGACUACGCCCACCUUCAAGCCUCUCUAGCCAAAGAAUGUUCUGGACCGCCAUCCGCCCCCCCGCCGCCCCACCCCCUGCUACCCCAGAUCAGAAAAACAACAAAGCGCAGAAUGGGAGCCUGCAUGUUCUGUGUGUCUUCCAUCCCCCCGGGAGUGGCCCCAGGAGAGCUCUCCUUUGGGCUGCAGCCGGCCCAUGUGAAACGAUAACGUAAUGCUGGAGCGUUCGCGGUCGGCGUCUCGAUCCCACCGACGGAAGUUUACCAGGCGGGAUAACCACGAGGAUGCGCUGGGAUCCUCCUGAGGACACUCGGUCUAGAGAACAACAAUGGCAUAGCUCUCCUCCUCGCUCUCUCUCUCUCUCUCUCUCUCUCCUCUCAAAGAGCCAAACAAGGAAUGAAUUCCACGGUGGGUUUUUCUGGUACUAAAGACCUCUGUGUUCAUCGCUGAUUGUUGGACACGGCGAUGGAGAACGCAAACAACGAUUUAUCGGACGGAGACACGGAUGAGGUGUCUUUCUUUUGAGCUUUGAUCUGUCUCUACAUUCCAGAAUGGAACCUCUUCGUCCUCUUCCUCCUCCUCCUCCCCGCAUCGCUCUUCUGAAUGCCGACCCCAUCGUCUGAUCUUUCCUUUAUCCCCUCUUCAUAACCUUCUUGUCAUGUCUUUAAACAAGUAUAGUGUGUAUCGUGGAAAACAAAUCGAGGAAUUUGGAAUGCAUGGAACUUUAUAUCCAAGACCUAACACUGUUCAUCAUGACCUAACAGAGGCCAUAGGGAAACUGAGGAGACACGUAAAAUAAGGACGGAAAAAACACAAGCGGAGAAGAGGAUUUAUGUUUUUAAAGGUUCAAAGGUCGGGAAAGUGGGGAAGCUACAGGGAUGUGGCCGCAGGAGUAGCCAUUAUCUUCAAGAGUUGUGUUUUGGAAUGGAGCCAUUGUGGACAGAUUCUUGUCAGCCAUUACAAGCCAUUCAGAUAACGUUUACCCACAAUGCUCGUGGUGAUGAUGUUUUAUCAACCGCCCCACAACAUUUGGGUCCGAGAUAUUCUUCUUGUUGUUGAAUAUGAUACAAUUAUUUGUAUUGUUUUGUUACAAUAUUUUUUUCAAUUUUGCUUUUUUCAUUUUAUACAGUUCAGUUAUAUCGCCUUAAUCAUCAAAUCACAUUAUUAUUUAUAUUGUUUUUGAGAAAAUACUGACAUAUUUUGAUAUAUUUCAUGUUUACCCAUGAUACAGCAUAUUUUAAUUGUGCCACUUAUUUAUCUGUGUAUCAGCUGGAACACUGGUAACAAAAAGAUUAAUUUAUAUUUUUGGGAUUUUGUGUUACGUUUGUACUUAUUUAAGAUAUUAUUUAUUUUUAUUCAUGGGUUAAGAUUAUUUUGUUACCAUCAUGAAACUUUUGGAUAUGUUAUCAAUAAUUCUUAAAGCAAUAGUGGACAAGUAAGGAAGUUUAAGAGCACAACUCUGUGUCAUUUUAAAAGAUAGUGGUUCAGGAACGUGUUGCCUCUGCCUCUCUAACUCACCACUGUUGGAUCAUUCACAUCUAGUUAAAAGUUAAAAGGUACUAUGGGACAUAACCUAGCUUUGUACCGCUGGGUUAAAAAAAAAAAACCUCACCUGUAAACAGAGUUUGGUACCGCCCAGAUCGUCCCAUCCAACCAAUGAUGAGACAUGUCGGCUUCUCGUAUCGGCCAAUCCGCUGAUCAGAGCCAGAUGCCCGUUGUUUGGGGUGUUAUCGUAAGGCACUGCAGGACAGCAGAGAGGCACCGGAAAAUCAGACCAGUUAGACUACUUUACCAAUGAAACAGCAGAACAGUCACAUGUUGCCAUGGAAACGGACCUGGUUCCUCUUGCCAGAGAUAUGGUUCUUCUGACCCUCCAAGAUGGUUCUCUUCAGCAUGUCUUCACUCUCCCCACGGUGUGUAUGUGUAGGUGUGUGUGCGUGCGUGUGUGUGCGUGUGUGCGUUACACACUCUGAAAUGUUGUCAGCAUCGAUUUGAAACCAGAACCAGAAGACUCUUUUUAUCCACUUGCCUUUUUUUUGCUUGCUUUCUUUUCUUCAAACGUAUAUUUUGCCGGUGUCCAGAACUGCAAAAUCAACUUCGAUCUCUGCCUCACAGACAGUUGUCAUGGAAACUUCUCAGGUCAGUGUUCUCCCUGCUGUUGUCCCUGCAGUGCAUUGUGGGACAUGCGGUUUGGUACUCAAAGUGUAUCCUUCUAGGUCAAACAUCGUGAGGCCUUUAACCAACAACCCAUCAACUUCUGCAGUAUACUGUAUUCUACAUACUGUAUACUGUAAACUAUAUACUGUACAGUGUAUAGUAUCUGUCUUCUCCUGCUGGGAAACUAUUGCAUGCCACCCGGCACAGAAAACCUCAAAGUCACCUGGCUAUUGUUCUUCUCCUAUUGUUUGUAUGUACUAAUGUACCUGUGUGUGGGUCUGUGUGGGGGGGCGGGAUGGGAUUCUAUGGCUACACUAUUCUUAAAAUACCGCUUGACAUGGAAACACCAACCCACAUGAAUAAUGCAACUAAUUUGAUGGUCACACUAUUGGCAACCUCUCAUUUUUGAUGUUCUAUGCAAUGAAUCAUGUUAGCGAAUUGUAUGAACCGAAUGGAAAAACAUGGAGAAACACACAGAGCCAGUGGAAGAGGGAACGACCACAUGGCCACGCCUACUAAUAACAACACCGCCUUUAUAACUAAUCUAUAACCAAUGAGGAAACAUUGCAAUUGUGUUUGUAUGCAAGUCAUCCGUCGGUGGGGGAAAAGCAACCGUUGCAUCCGUAUAUUUAUACGUUUUGAUUGUCUUUAUUUGUUUGAAGGUUGACAGCGUCGAUUACCAGAGAGUUAUCAGAAAGAAACUUAACAUACCGAUCCUUCGCACCCGGCUCACUCUCAGCUCCGUUUAUUAAAUACUAAAGACUUUGUAUUACACGGCCAAGCCAAGAGGCAGGCGCGCAAACAGAGAAACACGUGGCACGAAAUGCCAGGAAAUGUUUUUUCAAAUUCACACAGAUGUGGUGUCGUAAGAGGAACCAGUAUUUGAAUGAUCUAUUUAAUUCAAAGAAAAAUUAAUAAAAAACAGGAUAUGAUAUAUAGAUAUAUAAUAUAUAGAUAUACAGAAUAGAGAUUCAUAUAUUUACUGCGUUGUCACCACAGCGAUCAGGGUUCAUCAGCAGAAGAAAAUAAGGGAUGUAGUUUCAUCCUGCUUUAACAGAAGGUGGGACUCAAACCACAACAGCAGUUAUAUAUAGACAGCCAAUAGGAUCUGAUGAUGAUAUAUCCAAUAGCCUUUAUUAAAUGAAUAUGAAAUAUUUAUGAAAUCUCUAACAUAACACAGGAUAAUGACCAUAAUCUAUUUUUCAAGACAUUCCCUAAGUCAAAGAAAGGGUUGCGUGUGUGCGUGCCUGCAUGUGUAUGUGUGGGCGUGUGCAAGAAAAAAAUAAAUAUAUGCAGUACAACAUGGCUGACACAUUCUACACUCCAAAUGAAAUCAUCUGAAUGCUUUCAGGAGUUUGCGUGAACACUAGUGAAGACGAAAUUAUAAAAAAUCUACGAGAUCCUCUUAAUAUUGACAGAGUGCUACAUUAGUUGGUGAUACAAGAAAUACAAGAAGGUUCAAAUAGACCAGGCAAUGUAGAGAGCCAACAUUACCUGACCAUGGAUUUAUUUAAGCAUGACUUAAGAAAAAGGGUACAAAAGAUAAUAUAUAAAGUUAUUUUUGUGAGUGUAUUUUUUACAAGAUUUUAAUAUAAUUUUAUCAUACAGAUGGAUAUGGCGGAGACUUUCCAGACCAGAACCCCAGAAUAUUUUCUUUGAUAUCUGGCAUAUUGAAGUAUGACAUCAAGAAUCUAUUAAAUACUAAGAAAUAUUCAAUUUCUAACCUGAUAUAAUUCAGAACUAGGUUUCGUUCAUCAUUUAUAUUAAGAAUAAAUGCAUACCUGAAAACACAAUCAAUUGUUUGAUAAUUCAACCAUUGGAUUGAAUACCGGAUGUUUGCGUUGCUGUAAGAAUCAGGAUCAUGGUCUUUAGUCAGUGGAACUGCCUGGUUCCUUCCUACAGGCCUUAAGCAACUCACAAGCCAACUGCCACCCAGUGAACGAUCUCACCGUAGAAAUUAUACAAUACAGUUUUGUUAAAGUUGUACGCAACGUUUUAAGUUAUCAUAUCCAAAUUCCUACCUUAUUCCUAAUUCCUGUUGUAUGUUUUUGGAGGUUUGUACAAACAUGUUUUUACAAUCACUUUUGCCUCAGGAAAGCACAGACUACAUGCAACAUUGUGACGGAUGUGCUUAAAGGACUACACAUGAUAAUGAAUGGCUUUACGCAGGCACAGAGAUUUGUUUUACUUAUUUAUAUAAAAAAACUCUUAAAAUCCAAACCUAAUUAGAGCUGUGCACAGAGAAUUCAUUUUUUUUUUCCUUUUGUCCUUUUGUGUAAAUACAGCCAUGGAGGGUGAAAUAAAUAUGCAUAUAGCAGUAAGGGCUUAAAACUACAAUACUGGUGGUGGGUCAGAAAGCCAUGCUGUUGCCUCCCUCUAGUCAAGGCCUCUGUCCCAGGAGUGAACAGCCUCUCUGUAGACUAGAGCUAUGCUGUGUUGUAUCAGUGACUUUACAACAGAGCUGUCCGCCAUUCCAAAUUCCCUCCUGCUCGCUCCCACAAGCUACUUAACACUGAGUGCUCUUUGACUGGCGAGCUGGCACUAUUAGGCAAUAAAAGGAUGCAAAUUAAUGCUAAACAAAUAGUGUGGAUGUGAGUUUUGCAUGCUGAAAUGUAGAGUUGAUAUUGAUCGUAAAAAGAGAACGUAGAGUGUAGGAUCCUUUUUAAUUUUUUUUCCAAGUCAAAUUGGCUCCCGAGUUUUUCUACUAAUGCUGACUGACUUUGUGUUCGGGUAGGAAUCUGAGAAGCUGGUACAAAUGCAUCCACAUACAAUUCUUUCUACAAUGUCAGAUUCAAAUGUUGUUCGGUGGGACACCACUGUUGGUCCAAACGUACACAAGAGAGAACAAUACAUGACCGAUUUUUUGCCCCAAAAAAGAUUCCUAAUACCUUUUUGAAAAAGAGAAAGGACUUUACAGGGAAACACAAUUCUCACGGGGGGAAAAAAUAAAAUAAAGGUAAAAAUUCCAUGUUUCACUUUAAAGCAUACGGGAGUGUUUUCAUCCUUCACGUGUAAAGAGUAGUCGAUGAAUUAAAAUGACAAGUGCAUGAUGUAGAGAAGUGUCCUCAUCCUUCCCCCCCUACCCAUGUCACAAACGGUGACCUUUAACCUCUCACCUCUCAGGCAGCCUUUCUCAGUGUAUAUAGCAAAACAGAAAGCUGCUGCCACAGUCCGCUCCACAGAGUGAAUGCCCCACUAAGAAACAUGUUCUGUGCAACAUGUAAAUGUCCUGCAUACACACACAUACAGUCCACAUGUCACGGGACAGGCGACAGGCGUGGCACCCCAUCCUCCUGCCCUACCUUGUGCUUUUAUGUAAUGAACAAAAGAAAUAUCAAAAGGAGCAUUUGUUGAUUUUAAUAUAAAAAAAAAAAUGCAUUGUGUACGUAUGUGGCUGGCUCGUGCGGACUGUUCAAAAUUAUGUAAAAAAAAAAAGAAAAAAAAAAGGUUGUAUUCUGACAAAACAAAAAAAAACAUUGGUCUGUGUAGAGUUUCUAAACAUGUUGUGUUUGUAAAACGAAAUGAUAUCAAAAACAAAAAAACUUCAACGGGAAGGGGUAUGCUGGCUUCCAUGUAAAAAAAUGUUGGGUGAAGACAAAGAUUCUUGAAGAGAAAUAAUACGAGUUGCCAAUUGGAAAUGGAAAGAUUAAAUGAAAAAAAAAGAUUCCUUAACUUUCAUUGGCUGAAACUAAACGAAAAGAAAAACAUUAAAGAAAAGAGGCUGGAGACCCUGAAAAUGACUAAUGCUAAUGUGUUCCAUUCACUGUUGUAAGUGCAAUGAGCCCAACUGAGUGUCUCCCAUUGUGAUCCCUGUGUGUGUUUCUGUGUUUCCCUUCUGUACAAUGGCUGUAGUGGACCUGGUGCGUCAUAACAUGUAAUGUGAUGAAUGACAAAUUAUGAACUUACAAUACAUUUCAAUCAGGAAUAAGAAAUAAAAUACAAAUAUAUAUAUAUAAAAGGGAAACAGGUGUGUUCGUCUCGUGGUUUUCUUAAAAAUUAUGUGGCACUGUUGACGUGAUCUACUCUAACGGAAUGAACCGGUCUUAAAGAUAUAACAUUUGAGGCCCUUACAGUUGAACAUAUGUGCUGCUGUGAUUAUCAAUAAAUUCUUGAAAGGCGGUAUCUUUGGUUUUGGCAACUCAAACGUGUUGUUUGACUACCUGCUGAUUUCUGAACUUCCACUUGCAUUUGUAGGAAUCCUUUUAUUUUAUUUAGAUUAACAAAUCUUCAGUUUCCCUCCCUCAAGUGAAAUAUGUUCCAUCUAUGGUAAAAUGUCUACUUCCAUCAUUUGAAGCGAUAGUCUAUACAAAUUUGGCAUUGCUGAAACAUAUCUUCCAAUGCAGAGAUGCAGGAUACUUCCAUGCUAUAAUAUGAUCAUAUAUA
ensembl:lncRNA